AUGUCCUGGUUCCCUCCGCACGCCCCCCACGACUGCGGCGAUCCUCCCCCAAAGUCGGUCGUCCUCGACACCCUGGUCUACGCCGACGACCGCACCAACGCCUCCACCGCCGAGGGCUUCACCAGCAACGGCGACGCCAUCCGCCUCACCUUCUGGCCCGCGCAUCCGCCGCUCAUCUCCUACUUCACCGUCCACCUACCCACCCUCCUCCAGGACGGAUCCGCCACCUCGCUCCUCCUUCUGCCACGCCUUGUCCGCGCCGACGGCGACCUCGCCCUCUUCCGCGUCAUCAUCGGCUCUUCAUACAUCGACCGGGACCACAACAACUACAUCAUCUACCGUGCCGGCGUCAACAAGCUUGAGGUGCUCCCCACCCACCCCACCCGCUUGUUCGCCGACCCGUCAGUUGCCCUCCUGCGCUGCCCCGACGACGGCAGGUUCUUGGUCGCCAAUCUCCGUUCAACUUGCGGCCUUGGGCAGUACGCCCUCGACCUGUUUGACUCCCGGUCAGGCACAUGGAACACCAGGUCCAUGCGUACAGAACCUCCACACGAGGACUGCUACUACCGCACUCCGACCAAGGUGAUCGCCCUCGGUGGCGAUCGCGGUUCAGUCGGCUGGGUCGACCUAUGGAAUGGCAUCCUCAUCGGUGAUCUGCUCCCCGGCGGCGACGGCGAUGACAACAACGUCCUCCGCUUCAUCCGUUUGCCCGUGCUUUUGGCGCCCAACAAGAUGGACCCGUUCUUUUUGACCUGUGACCGGGACGUCUCUGUCGGCAGAGACGGCUCCAUCAAAUACUCAGAGGUGUGGACUCAUCCUGUCCCUGGCUCGACCUACAUCUCCGAGGACUGGGGUGCUGCCAUACUGACAUGGCUGGAGUCCAAGAAGAAGUGGCACAUCGACCUCAAGCUCAAAGCCUCUGACAUCAUCGUGGACGAGACUCACUCUCAGUUGCUUCCUCAGCAUGAUGUCAAGGCCACAACGAAGAAUGCAACCUUGAGCAGACUUCACACAGGGCAUCCUACUCUCAGCUUGCAUGAUGAUGAUGUUGUUUACAUCAUGGCCAAGGUUUACCACAUGGACUACGACUUGUGGAUGCUUGCUGUUGACAUGAGGAACAAGACUCUAAAAGGAGUGGCUGCUCUCACCAGUAAAAGAAGCUUGGGUUUUAGAUUCAUGUACCUGCAAAGUGACCUCUCCAACCAUCUGGUGGCCACAAGCGAAAACACCGAGGUCUUCAACCUUCCGCCCAAAAGCAAAGAAAGAAGAAUCCUUCUAAAACUGCCAAGCAACAACCUGGGAAGACUCUUGCUAACAGCUGUCGUGUGGAACAAGAAGAACAGGAGCUGA
rnacentral:rRNA from 1 species